GAUGAACGCUAGCUACAGGCUUAACACAUGCAAGUCGAGGGACCGGCGCACGGGUGAGUAACACGUAUCCAACCUGCCCUUUACUCGGGGAUAGCCUUUCGCAAGAACGAUUAAUACCCGAUAUAAAGGAUGCGGAUGCGUUCCAUUAGGUUGUUGGUGAGGUAACGGCUAACCAAGCCUUCGAUGGAUAGGGGUUCUGAGAGGAAGGGCCCCCACAUUGGAACUGAGACACGGACCAAACUCCUACGGGAGGCAGCGGUGAGGAAGAUUGGUGAAGGGGCGCUAGCCUGAACCAGCCAAGUAGCGUGAAGGAGGAAGGCUUAUGGGUCGUAAUCUUCUUUUAUAGAAGAAUAUGUAUUAGAUGAAUAAGGAUCGGCUAACUCCGUGCCAGCAGCCGCGGUAAUUC
rnacentral:rRNA from 1 species